AUACUUACCUGGCAGGGAAGAUACCAUGAUCAUGGAGGUGGUUUUCCCAGNAUGGGGUUCAGCCACUGCCCUCAGGGUGUGCUGACUGCUGCUAUCUCCCCAAAUCCAGGAAACUUGACUACAUAAUUCAUGGUAGUGGGGAGCUGCAUUCUCACUCUCCCUU
rnacentral:snRNA from 1 species